rnacentral:tRNA from 1 species
GCACCCGUAGCUCAAUUGGAUAGAGCACUUGACUACGGAUCAAGAGGUUAGGAGUUCGAAUCUCUUCGGGUGCGCCA